AGUGAACGCUGGCGGUAGGCCUAACACAUGCAAGUCGAACGGCAGCACAGUAAGAGCUUGCUCUUACGGGUGGCGAGUGGCGGACGGGUGAGGAAUACAUCGGAAUCUACUUUUUCGUGGGGGAUAACGUAGGGAAACUUACGCUAAUACCGCAUACGACCUACGGGUGAAAGCAGGGGAUCUUCGGACCUUGCGCGAUUGAAUGAGCCGAUGUCGGAUUAGCUAGUUGGCGGGGUAAAGGCCCACCAAGGCGACGAUCCGUAGCUGGUCUGAGAGGAUGAUCAGCCACACUGGAACUGAGACACGGUCCAGACUCCUACGGGAGGCAGCAGUGGGGAAUAUUGGACAAUGGGCGCAAGCCUGAUCCAGCCAUACCGCGUGGGUGAAGAAGGCCUUCGGGUUGUAAAGCCCUUUUGUUGGGAAAGAAAAGCAGCAGGUUAAUACCACGCUGUUCGGACGGUACCCAAAGAAUAAGCACCGGCUAACUUCGU
rnacentral:rRNA from 1 species